GGAUGGAUCAUUCUUGUUUCAAUACUCAACCCCAGCUACUUUCAGCACUCACUUACAUUUUAAUGUCUACAACAAAAGAAUUAAAAACUCUUAACGAUGGAUGACUCGACUCUCGUAACGAGGAAGGACGCAGCAAACCGCGAUAUGCAGUGUGACUUGCGAGCACUCGUGAACCACCAGAUUUCUGAACGCAUUUGUACUUAUAGCUUGUCUAUGAGUAUGCUUGUUUCGGUAUCAUUUCGACUUCCCACAUUUUUCUAAUCUAUUUAGACGAUAUGGGGUCUCGAGCUUUUCACUACUUGUGAUCAGCUGUCAGUGUGAGUUAUUCAAAAUGUGUUUGCGUUCAGUAAUAUUCACUUUCGCAAUAUCGUUUGAAUUUCUUCAAUCUAGUUCUUUGAUCCGAAAUCAAGCAAGGUUACCCGCUGAAUUUAAGCAUAUAAUUAAGCGGAGGAAAAGAAACCAACUGGGAUUUCCAUAAUAGCGGCGAGCGAAAUGGAAUCAGCCCAAGAUGUGAAACGAGUGAGCAUCACUCGAGUUGUGCAUCUAGAUUAAUGCCAGUUUAUCUCUCUAUCUAAGAUGUCUGCAACGACAUGCCACAGAAGGUGAUAGCCCUGUCUUUGAUAAAGAUGAUAAGCGUACGGCUUAGUCGUUUUUGAGUCACGCUCUUUGGGAGUAGAGCGCAAAUAGGGUGGUAACCUCCAUCCGUGGCUAAAUACCGACGAGAGAUCGAUAGCAAACAAGUACCCUGAGGGAAAGUUGAAAAGCACUUCGAAAGGAGAGUUAAAAGACCUGAAAUCGUUAAGGGGGAAGCGACUAUCCGUGACCCACGUGGUUCCUGGCAACUCGGCAACGGGUGCGCCAGUUCCACUACCUGACAUCACUAUUUUAUGAUUUGAACUUCAUUUCAAGAGAUAGUGAGGACUACCAGCUUGCUGUAAGAUGUCAGGAGCGGCAUGUAUAGACGACCCGUCUUGAAACACGGACCAAGGAGUUAGACAAGUGUGCGAGUGUAAGAGUGACAAACUCAUACGCGCAGUGAAAGCAAUGGCUGUGAAUACCAAUGCAACAGCGGCCGACCAUGAAGUUCGAGCUUGAGCAUAUUUGUUUAGACCCGAAAGAUGGUGACCUAUACCUGAGUUGGGUGAAGCCAGGGGAAACCCUGGUGGAAGCUCGUAGCGAUACUGACGUGCAAAUCGUUCGUCAAACUUGGGCAUAGGGGCGAAAGACUAAUCGAACCAUCUAGUAGCUGGUUCCCUC
rnacentral:misc_RNA from 1 species